rnacentral:rRNA from 1 species
UACGGAGGGCGCGAGCGUUAAUCGGAAUUACUGGGCGUAAAGCGCGCGUAGGCUGUUGUGUAAGUUGGGGGUGAAAUCCCACGGCUCAACCGUGGAACAGCCCUUGAUACUGCGCGACUUGAAUCCGGGAGAGGGUGGCGGAAUUCCAGGUGUAGGAGUGAAAUCCGUAGAUAUCAGGAGGAACACCGGUGGCGAAGGCGGCCUGCUGGACUGCAACUGACGUUGAGGCCCGAAAGCGUGGGGAGCAAACAGG